rnacentral:rRNA from 1 species
UACGAAGGGGGCUAGCGUUGUUCGGAAUUACUGGGCGUAAAGGGCGCGUAGGCGGUGUGUCAAGUCAGGCGUGAAAGCCCCGGGCUCAACCUGGGAACCGCGCUUGAGACUGGCACGCUAGAGUUCGGGAGAGGAUGGUGGAAUUCCCAGUGUAGAGGUGAAAUUCGUAGAUAUUGGGAAGAACACCAGUGGCGAAGGCGGCUCACUGGCUCGUAUCUGACGCUCAGGCGCGACAGCGUGGGGAUCAAACAGG